CCUAUCCCUAACCCGCUCUCGUCUCCCUCGGACGCAGCCGGCCGCCGAAUCGAAUCCCGCCCGCGGGCUCAUCUGCCUCGCCAUGGCCGAUGAACGCGUCGGCUGCGGCCGCGUCCCUCUCCCAACGGCGGCGUUGAUGGAGGGAGCAGCUGGCGCUGGCCAAGCUGCCGAUCGAUGGACGCGCCGGGCGUCACUCCUCGGGUCCAGCCCCUCCCGCUCCCUGCAUCUCUCCCUGUCUCCUCCACGAGCUGCACGGAAGUACGUACAUGCAUCCUUGUGAGGAAGAUUGAUCGGGAUGGAGAAAUCAGGCGACGCGGAACCACACCAAGCUCCAAUACUAUCGCCUCGUGUGUUGCCUGCUCCACCUCCUUACGGAUAUGCUGCUUCUUAUCAUGUCCCAGCCGCUGGUGCUACCAAUCCAAGUGUUCAUCCAUUCUGGUCUAUUUCUUUGGAUAAUUUAUGGAGGCCGUGGUUCUGGUAUUUGCAUGUAUUCACAAAUUGUUCACAAGGCCUGGAGGAAAUAAUAGGGAGGAUUGGAGAUGCACCGGGCAUGCCAUGGCAACGAAACAAAAGCUUAUUACUUCAAUUCAAUUAUGCAAGUUGAAGAAGGUACAAACUAUUAACUCCGAUCUUCUAAUGCUUCCUUUCUUUUUUUUAAUGUGGUUUGGCUCGACAAACAAUAUUUUCUUUGUGGCAUACUGCACUAGCUCUAAUUUGAGUACUUCAAUUCAACUUAAAGUAACUUAUUUUCUAACACUUAAUAAUGAGCUCACAGAUGAUAGAAGCAGAAAAAAAAUACUUGGCCAAAUAUCAUUUAACCAGAUAUUGUACAUUGUAGAAUCAGUAGUCUAUCUCACUUCAUUCUUGUUAGAACCUGCAUAAGAUUUUGUAUGUGAUGCUUUUGUUUAUUCAAUCAAGUGAAAUAAGGGCUACAACAAGAGAUCACCAUUAGGUUAUCAUGAACCAGCAAAAUGGGUAUAAGAAGCUAUAUUCAAGAAAAGAUAUUUUGCUCAUUCUUUACCCAGAGCAAAUAUAAAGUCGCAUACGAACAUCUGAAACUAAGAACUCAACAAAUAGAUCAGUAUAUUCCAUGUUAAGUAUACAACUCACAAAUAGACAUUUCCAGUGAGAAAAUAUUAACUAUUUCUAAAAUGUCGUGACAAGUUGUUUUUUUUGUAGAAUUUUAUGCUCUUGCUGUUAUCUUAGCCUCACAGGAUUGUAUAUUUUGAUGGAAUAUAGUAAGAUUUUCUUAUAAUCACGAGUUCUUUUAUAAUUGGAUGAGAAGAUACCAUCUAGCGCAUCAAUUAAGAAUUACCCAUAUUAAUACCUCGAACAGGGAUGCAUGUAUUUGAUCUUUCCUGCUGAGAUUCAGUGUUUCCUAUCGGAGGUCUGAAUUUGCAUAUGUGGGGCCUCUCAGUUAGAUUGUAAGUAUACUAACCAUUCUGUAACUGAGGUUGUGCCAUAUAUCUAGAACUGUAGAAUAUCUUCCACAUAUGUUCAUUCAGGGACCUUAGAAAUUCACUAUUGAGGGUUCAUUGCCAAGAAGGCAACUCAUCUCUUCGGCAUUGAAUUUAUUUGGAGUGUUGCAAUUAUCGCAAUGCUCAGUGACAACUACCAGGGUCAUGAAGAAGUCCUAGCUCAACAAUGGCUCCGUGAGCUCUAACAGGUGUGGUGGGCUGCCAACGACCUACACAUAGUAUUGCUUAAAUCGGCUGCAAUCACUAGAUUCUCGUCACUAACUCUGUGAACUGGUAGAAAGUGGUCACGUUGGGAAAGUAGUAAACGGAAUGCUACUAAAAUAGUGGGCCUUUGGGCAACACCUAAAGCAUUGCAAUAAGCUUCUGAUAAGAAUUUCGUACAAGAAUAGGUGCUUGUAAAUAUGUUGAAUUGUUCAUGGUGGAGUUGUUGUACAGUCUCCCAACAGCAAUGAUUUACAAGGCUCAAGGGACUAUAUAAAGGCCAAACACUUGGAAUUCAAACAAGCUAGGUUCAAAAUGGUAACUUUGAGUUAUUAUUUAUGUUGUUUGGCUGGCUUAUUUGAUGCCGAAGUUGUAUGAGGAUACGUGUGUUUUAAAAUUUUGCUAUUGGAUUUCACUUUUUUUCUUUA